CAGUAGCCACGGUAAUACAGAGGGUGCGAGCGUUAAUCGGAUUUACUGGGCGUAAAGCGUGCGUAGGCGGCUUCUUAAGUCGGAUGUGAAAUCCCUGAGCUUAACUUAGGAAUUGCAUUCGAUACUGGGAAGCUAGAGUAUGGGAGAGGAUGGUAGAAUUCCAGGUGUAGCGGUGAAAUGCGUAGAGAUCUGGAGGAAUACCGAUGGCGAAGGCAGCCAUCUGGCCUAAUACUGACGCUGAGGUACAAAAGCAUGGGGAGCAAACAGGAUUAGAUACCCGUGUAGUCCCUGUCUCUUAUAC
rnacentral:rRNA from 1 species